GACGAACGCUGGCGGCGUGCUUAACACAUGCAAGUCGAACGGAAAGGCCCUGCUUGCAGGGUACUCGAGUGGCGAACGGGUGAGUAACACGUGGGUGAUCUGCCCUGCACUUCGGGAUAAGCCUGGGAAACUGGGUCUAAUACCGGAUAGGAGCCAUUUUUAGUGUGAUGGUUGGAAAGUUUUUUCGGUGUAGGAUGAGCUCGCGGCCUAUCAGCUUGUUGGUGGGGUAAUGGCCAACCAAGGCGGCGACGGGUAGCCGGCCUGAGAGGGUGGACGGCCACAUUGGGACUGAGAUACGGCCCAGACUCCUACGGGAGGCAGCAGUGGGGAAUAUUGCACAAUGGGCGCAAGCCUGAUGCAGCGACGCCGCGUGGGGGAUGACGGCCUUCGGGUUGUAAACUCCUUUCGCUAGGGACGAAGCUUUUUGUGACGGUACCUAGAUAAGAAGCACCGGCUAACUACGUG
rnacentral:rRNA from 1 species